rnacentral:rRNA from 1 species
UCGAGAAGCUUCGGCAAUGGGCGAAAGCCUGACCGAGCGACGCCGCGUGAGCGAUGAAGGCCCUAGUGGUUGUAAAGCUCUGUCAGAUUGGGAAUAAAUGCCGGGGGCGAAUAACCCCUGGAGCUGAAGGUACCGUCAGAGGAAGCACCGGCUAACUCCGUUCCAGCAGCCGCGGUAAUACGGAGGGUGCAAGCGUUGUUCGGAUUCACUGGGGAUAAAGGGUGCGUAGGCGGCCGCGUAAGUCAGAGGUGAAAGCUGCCAGCUUAACUGGCAAAUUGCCUUUGAGACUGGGAGGCGUGAGUCCGGGAGAGGAAGGCGGAAUUCCAGGUGUAGCGGUGAAAUGCGUAAAUAUCUGGAGGAACACCGGUGGCGAAGGCGGCCUUCUGGUCCGGUACUGACGCUGAGGCACGAAAGCCAGGGGAGCAAACG